rnacentral:rRNA from 1 species
CCCAGACUCCUACGGGAGGCAGCAGUGAGGAAUAUUGGUCAAUGGGCGGGAGCCUGAACCAGCCAAGUCGCGUGAGGGAAGACGGUCCUAUGGAUUGUAAACCUCUUUUGUCGGGGAGCAAAGAGGCCUCGUGAGGUCAAAAGCGAGAGUACCCGAAGAAAAAGCAUCGGCUAACUCCGUGCCAGCAGCCGCGGUAAUACGGAGGAUGCGAGCGUUAUCCGGAUUUAUUGGGUUUAAAGGGUGCGUAGGCGGGCCGGUACGUCAGCGUUAAAAUUGCGGCGCUCACCUCCGUCGAGCCGUUGAAACUGCCGUUCUUGAGUGAGCGAGAAGUAUGCGGAAUGCGUGGUGUAGCGGUGAAAUGCAUAGAUAUCACGCAGACCUCCGAUUGCGAAGGCAGCAUACCGGCGCUCAACUGACGCUCAUGCACGAAAGUGUGGGUAUCGAACAGGAUUAGAUCCCCCGGUA